GACGAACGCUGGCGGCGUGCUUAACACAUGCAAGUCGAACGGACAGGCCCUGCUUUUGUGGCUUUCUCGUGUGGCGCACGGGUGUGUAACACGUGUGUAUCCUGCCCUUGUCUUUGUGAUAACUCUACGAAACUGGGGCUAAUACCGGAUAGGAGCUCCUGCUGCAUGGUGGUGGUUGGUAAGUUUCGGCGGUUGUGGAUGGACUCGCGGCUUAUCCGCUUGUUUGUGGGGUAGUUGAUUACCAAGGUUUUGACGGGUAGCCGGCCUGAGCGGGUGACCGGCGACAAUGGGACUAAGAGACGGCGCAGACGGCAACGGGAGGCAGCAGGGGGGAGUAUUGCACAGUGAGGGGAAGCCUGAGGCAGCAGCGCCGGGAGCGGGAUGACGGCCUUCUGGCGGUAAACCGCUGUCGACUGAGACGAAGCGGGAGUGACGGUAAUGGGUAAAGAAGCACCGGCUAACUACGUG
rnacentral:rRNA from 1 species